rnacentral:rRNA from 1 species
CCUACGGGAGGCAGCAGUGGGGAAUAUUGGGCAAUGGGCGCAAGCCUGACCCAGCAACGCCGCGUGAAGGAAGAAGGCUUUCGGGUUGUAAACUUCUUUUAUCAGGGACGAAGCAAGUGACGGUACCUGAGGAAUAAGCAAGGGCUAACUACGUGCCAGCAGCCGCGGUAAUACGUAGGGGGCAAGCGUGAUCCGGAUUUACUGGGUGUAAAGGGCGUGUAGGCGGGAGUGCAAGUCAGAUGGGAAAACUAUGGGCUCAACCCAUAGCCUGCAUUUGAAACUGUACUUCUUGAGUGCUGGAGAGGCAAUCGGAAUUCCGUUUGUAGCGGUGAAAUGCUUAGAUAUACGGAGGAACACCAGUGGCGAAGGCGGUUUGCUGGACAGUAACUGACGCUGAGGCGCGAAAGCGUGGGGAGCAAACAGGAUUAGAUACCCGGGUAGUC